GGUCCCAAUCUCCUGAGCUCAGGUGAUCCGCAGGCCUCAGCCCCGCUAAGUGCUGGGAUUACAGGCAUGAGUCACUGCACCUGGUCCCUAUUUGUUUUACAAAAGAGAAAUUGAGAUCCUGAGUGUUAAGUGACUUGACUGAGGCCAUCCCACUAACAGGAGCCAGGGUUAGGAUUCAAACCCCAUCCAACUGGUCCCAGAGCUGGAGCUUCUUGCACUGCCCUACACUAUCUACCAUCUCCAUCCUCUGGGCACCUUUGUAUAAGAACCAAAACAGUACAGAGCAUUGCUUUGUCAACUCAGCUGGGAACAUUUCCCAGGGCAACUCACAUUUUUCACUGCUCUGUGCCUGUCUGUAUAAACUCAAUGAGUAUUGAUUUAGGGGCUUUGGAGAACUUUGAAUGCUAUCCCCUAAGUAACCAUUGUUGGCAACCUGGUAUCUCUACUUUUAGCCAUUUCUCCUUCUCUAUAGAUAGUGCAGAAGUGACACUUGGUAACAAGCAUCCUUGCCAAGCCUCCACUAGGUCAGUGUAAGAAUUAAAGAAAGAGGAAAGAAACAUGAAAGGUGGCUUGAUGGUUAAGAGGUUUAUUUUAGAGAAAAUACACCUGAGAGGGGCUGCUGGCCGAGUUAGGUUCGAGCCACACUUUUUUACAGACUAAGAGUUUUUAAGGAUUUAGGGUGGGAGAGUUUAUUAGAGGCUUGGACUGCUUUUGUGGUUUUUUGUUGUUGUUGUUGUUGUGAUUAUAUGGGAGGGAGAGCGAUGCGAUGUGUUUGUUUUUAUACAUUUUUCUGCAGCUGCAGGGAUACCUCCCAAGUCUGCUUUUAGCUUCCCUAUUGUAGUGCACCUGGAGGGAAAGGAAUGUGCUUAUUAAGGCCCACUGUUUUACUGGGGCCCAUUGUAUGAAGGUGAAGUUUGGCAGUUACCCAAGAGACUUUUCCCCCACCUUCCUCUGUGCCUGAGCUGUUUUAACUAUGUUUUACUGUCUGCUUUUUUUGGCUGCUUAUAGUUUUUAAAAAAGUAAUUUCCUUAAAUCCAGAAGUCUGAAAAGGAAGCUGAAACUUAAAGUGGCAGUGUUUGUCUAAAAUAACGGGGCUCCUGCUCUGUCAGUCAGUACCCUCAAGUCACUCCUGAUCCUCAACCUCCAUGCCUAAGCCUGGUUCAAGAGACCAUAUAACAUCUGCCUUUUAUUACAUACAUGAUGAGUGCAUGCGAUUCUGCAUGCCCUUUGCAUGAUAGAGACUGCUGAGGUGAGAUGGGGAAUGUCAGAGUCAGCUGCUGCUUGAGGAAGCAGAAAACACAGCUGGAGGCUUGGAACAUGUGGGUCCCUAUGAGUGCAGAGCCCAUAUCCCCAUAGAGUCUACCUAGGGCAGGGGUCGCCAAAUGUUUUCUUAAAGAGCCUGAUAGUGUAUAUGUUAGGCUUUGUGGGACAGGUAUUUACAGCAACUCAACUCUACCACUGUGGUAUGAAAACAGCUAUAGACAAUCAUAAGUGAAUGAUCAUGGCUAUGUUUUAAUAAAACUUUGUGGACACUGAA